CCUACGGGAGGCAGCAGUGAGGAAUAUUGGUCAAUGGACGAGAGUCUGAACCAGCCAAGUAGCGUGAAGGAUGACUGCCCUAUGGGUUGUAAACUUCUUUUAUAUGAGAAUAAAAUGUUCCACGUGUGGGAUUUUGUAUGUACCAUAUGAAUAAGGAUCGGCUAACUCCGUGCCAGCAGCCGCGGUAAUACGGAGGAUUCGAGCGUUAUCCGGAUUUAUUGGGUUUAAAGGGUGCGUAGGUGGAUUGAUAAGUCAGAUGUGAAAGUCUGAGGCUCAACCGUAAAAUUGCCGUUGAGACUGGCAGUCGUGAGUGUAGUAGAGGUGGGCGGAAUGCGUGGUGUAGCGGUGAAAUGCUUAGAUAUCACGAAGAACUCCGAUUGCGAAGGCAGCUCACUGGACUGCAACUGACACUGAGGCUCGAAAGUGUGGGUAUCAAACAGGAUUAGAUACCCGUGUAGUC
rnacentral:rRNA from 1 species